CAGUUAAUAUCUUUCGGGUUCUCUGUAAUCAAAUAAAUCCAAGCAUUGCCCAUCAUCAGAAACAGGGGCGUUGAGAAAAUGAUCAGUUGAGCAUUAUCAAGCGAUGGUGGUAGGAUCAAUUGAGCAUUGGCUUUUAAAAAAGAAAUACAAGCAGCAUUGCUGCAAUGGAAAAACUUCCAAACAUCUAAUCUGCUUCAAGAAAAUGAUCAACAAAUACAUCGAUAGAGCAGGAAAUGACUCGAAAAAAGCGAUAGGAACUGAGAACAAAAUCAGAACUCAGCAAGACACCCAAUAAUAACUUUUUAAAAGCACCUAGGUGUGUGUGCUGCUUCACUGCAUUAAAAAAACUCAACUCAACUAAACCUUUAUCCCAAAAAUUUGGGGUC
rnacentral:misc_RNA from 1 species